rnacentral:rRNA from 1 species
UACGUAGGGGGCAAGCGUUGUCCGGAUUUAUUGGGCGUAAAGAGCGUGUAGGCGGCUUUACAGGUCCGUUGUGAAAACUCGAGGCUCAACCUCGAGACGCCGGUGGAAACCGUAAAGCUAGAGUCCGGAAGAGGAGAGUGGAAUUCCUGGUGUAGCGGUGAAAUGCGCAGAUAUCAGGAGGAACACCGAUGGCGAAGGCAGGUCUCUGGGCUGACACUGACGCUCAUGCACGAAAGCGUGGGGAGCAAACAGG